rnacentral:rRNA from 1 species
CACGUAGGGAGCAAGCGUUGUCCGGAUUUAUUGGGCGUAAAGAGCUCGUAGGUGGUUCGGUAAGUCAGGUGUGAAACCUCCAGGCUCAACCUGGAGACGCCACUUGAUACUGCUGUGACUGGAGUCCGGUAGGGGAGCGUGGAAUUCCUGGUGUAGCGGUGAAAUGCGCAGAUAUCAGGAGGAACACCUAUGGCGAAGGCAGCUCGCUGGGACGGUACUGACGCUGAGACGCGAAAGCGUGGGGAGCGAACAGG